GUCUUUAGCCAUUCCACCCUGAACAGGCCCGAUCCCGUCCGAUCUCAGAAGCUAAGCAGGGGCGGGCCUGGUUAGUACUUGGAUGGGAGACCACCUAGGAGGGCCAGGUGCUGUAGGCG
rfam:Pteropus alecto contig50245, whole genome shotgun sequence.